GCAGCUCAGGGCAGCUUCAAAACGGGCGCGCCGGCCGCGCUCCCAAAGAAGGUCGCCUACGUCGUGCGUCACCGCGACGCGUGGCGUCAUCACGGCGGCCCCGGGCGCCGCAGGCCGGCGUGCACGGGACCGGCUGGGGCCUCGCCGGGGGGCUGUGCGGGGAUGUAGGGGCUUUGCGAGGAUGGGGACGCAAGAGCGGCGGCCGCCGGACGUGACCACGUUCUGCUUUUAGGCUUUUUUCGGGGUGCGGCACACGCCCGCGAGACCGGAGGGCCGCGGAAGUGGGAGCAUGCGCCGCGCGUGCGUGCUGGCCGUGGUGGUGGGGCGGGGGGGGCGGAGGGGCGGGGUGAGGUGGCGAUGUAGCCUGCCGGGUCGGCCAUGCGCAGUACGUGCCAGCCGGGAGCGAGCCGGCAUGGCGUCUGCCGGGCAGACCACGGGCGGCCAUGCGCAGUGGGUGCCCACCGGGAGCGCGCGCGGGCAUGCGCAGUGCGUGCCCGCCGAGCACAAGAACGCGACUGCGCGCUGCGGCUGUCGAGAGCGAGCUCGAGGCUGGGGCUGCAGAUUUCAUAAGUAGGCAACCCCGUUUACGUUAAUUUUGUUUCUCACACGGUUCUGACUCUAGAUUUAAUGUGCCCUUUGGAGCACCACCCUAGCCUGUACUGACGGAGGGGACCUGGUUUUCGUCACUGCUGGGAUGCCAGCCCCUAGAGAGUGCCUGGGACACGACAGAGAGUCCACCAUGGUGGGGUCAAGUCCUCUCCGAGACGAACGUGAAUCGUCCCAGCCCCGCGCGUCUGCGUUCGAGGAAGGUGAAAACACAGCAGGUUGGUGCGGAAUGCUGAGUGUUCUCGGAAGAAAAACGACCCCAGAUUCAGCACAGCUGUUUCCAUAGGGCUCAGAGCCACGCGGACGCAUUUAAUAAAUAGAAGAAUUUUUUAAUCAAGUCAGGAGACAGGAUGUAUAAACUUUAUUAUUGAUUACACGUUUGUGAAAGCCUUCUCAAUAAAGCAGACUUGCUCCGC